rnacentral:sRNA from 1 species
AUAUUUUCUGAGUAUUUCUUAAUUUCUUUUGUUAACAUAUAAAUUAAUUUUUUAUGUCAACAUACAGUAAAAUCUCUAUAAAUUAAUACUCGAUAAAUUAAUAACCUCUAUAAAUUAAUAAAUUCUCUCGAUCCCGAACUGAGACUAGUGUAAAAAGUGACACAAACCGAUAAAUUAAUAAGAUAAUAAUUUUUUGAAAGUCUUAUGUAAAUAUAUGGUCUCAUCAAUAUCAUAAAUUAAUAAUUACAUAAAUAUAUAACCUAU